rnacentral:lncRNA from 1 species
GCGGCUCCUUCCAGGACUCCUCCAAGAUAUAUAUUUAGCAGGCGGGGCGGGGUGGGGCGGGAGAGGCGUGCCAAGAUGCCCUGGCACCGCAGCCCCUGCCUUACCACACCGCUCUUCGGAGGGAGGGGCAGGCAGGCAGUGCCACAGGAGCCGGGUGAAUGGAUCAGCUCAGUUAGACCCAAGAGAGCCUCAUGCUUGUCCUAGACCUCAUUUUCCCGACCCAGUGGCAU